AUUCGCCCUUAGAGUUUGAUCCUGGCUCAGAACGAACGCUGGCGGCGCGUCUUAAGCAUGCAAGUCGAAUGGCAAGAAAAGAGCUUGCUCUUUUCCUAGAAUGGCGGACUGGUGAGUAACGCGUGGGUGACGUACCCUUUAGCUGGGGAUAGCCUUAAGAAAUUAAGGAUAAUACCGAAUAAGCUGCCCUUUGUUAGAGGGAGAGCAGGAAAGGAUCUUUUGAUUCACUGAAGGAACGGCCCGCGUACUAUUAGCUAGUUGGUGAGGUAACGGCCUACCAAGCCGAAGACGGAUAGCCGGACUGAGAGGUUGACCGGCCACAUUGGAACUGAGACACGGUCCAGACUCCUACGGGAGGCAGCAGUGGGGAAUAUUGGGCAAUGGGCGCAAGCCUGACCCAGCGACGCCGCGUGAAUGAAGAAAUCCUUCGGGAUGUAAAGUUCUGUUGUGUGGGGAGAUGAUGACGGUACCACACGAGGAAGCCCCGGCAAACUACGUGCCAGCAGCCGCGGUAAUACGUAGGGGGCGAGCGUUGUUCGGAAUUACUGGGCGUAAAGCGCACGCAGGCGGAAUGUUAAGUGAAAUGUCAAAGGCAGUGGCUCAACUACUGUUUCCCAUUUCAUACUGGCAUUCUAGAGUGAUUGAGAGGAAAGCGGAAUUCCUGGUGUAGCGGUGAAAUGCGUAGAUAUCAGGAGGAACACCGAUGGCGAAGGCAGCUUUCUGGCGAUUAACUGACGCUCAUGUGCGAAAGCUAGGGUAGCAAACGGGAUUAGAUACCCCGGUAGUCCUAGCUGUAAACGAUGGACACUGGGUAUGGGUAUGGGAACAUAUCCGUGCCGUAAUUAACGC
rnacentral:rRNA from 1 species